UCACAAAGAUUAACAUUUUAUGUAAUCGUACUUAUUUGUCACCUUAUGUUCUCACAAAGCUGCCAUCUUCUGUUCUGUUCCUCUCUUCUCAUACUCUGUUACCUACUUACCUUCUGAUCCUCAUCCCAUGGAAGUUUCCGGCGAACCCAUCCGGGUACAAUCCCUAGCCCAUUCAGGUCUAUCCCGGGUCCCACCCGAAUACAUCCAACCCCCUCAAAACCGACCCGUCCACCACAACCAACCCGAUCCCAGCACCAAUAUUCCCACCAUCAACCUCUCCGGGUUCGACCCGAAUCACCGCGACUCGACCCGGGAAUCCAUCCGGCGAGCCUGCCGCGAAUGGGGCGCCUUCCACGUCACCAACCACGGCGUUCCGACGACCCUCCUCGACUCCCUUCGGCGCUCGGGCCUCGCCUUCUUCAACGAGUGCCCCAUGCCGGAGAAGCUCCACUACGCCUGCGCCGCGGGAUCCGCCGCGUCGGAGGGGUACGGCAGCCGGAUGUUGGUGAGCGACGAAAACAACGACGGCGCGCAGGUCCUCGAUUGGAGAGACUACUUCGACCACCACACUCUUCCCCUUUCUCGCCGGAACCCUAAUCGGUGGCCCGAAUUCUCCUCCGGUUACAGGGAAUUGGUGGCGAGGUACAGUGAUGAGAUGAAGGCUUUGGCGCAGAAGUUGCUAAGUUUGAUCUCGGAGAGUCUUGGGUUGCGACCCUCGUGCAUUGAAGAUGUUGUUGGGGAGUUCUAUCAGAACAUCACCAUUAGCUAUUACCCUCCGUGUCCACAACCGGACCUUACACUUGGUCUCCAAUCACAUUCUGAUUUUGGUGCCAUUACCCUUUUGAUCCAAGAUGAUGUGGGUGGUCUUCAAGUUCUCAAGAAUGGUGAUGGUGGUGGUGACAGUUGGAUCACUGUGCAGCCCUUGUCAGAUGCUAUUCUUGUUCUCUUAGCUGAUCAAACUGAGAUUAUUACAAAUGGAAGGUACAGGAGCUGUGUGCAUAGAGCAAUUACUAAUCCUGAUAGACCACGACUCUCUGUGGCAACAUUUCAUGACCCAGCUAAGACAGUUAGAAUAUCCCCUGCUUCGGAACUGAUCGAUGAGUCAUCACCAGCUAAGUACCGGGAUGUUGUUUACGGAGACUAUGUAACAUCAUGGUAUACCAAAGGUCCUGAAGGAAAAAGAAAUAUCGAUGCACUUGUGCUGGAAUCUUAGUUGAAGACUAUCAUGCCUAUUUAAUGAAAAGGUGAUUGAAAAAUCAUUACGUGAUGAUGGUUGGAAGCUAGUUGGAUUCGCAAGAAAGGUUGCGAGUUGCAUGUUUUCUGAAAAGUUGAUUGGCAAAUGAUGGGUGAAUGAUGGUGGCAGGUUGGCAGGGGACAAGACAAGCAAACCGCAAACAAUGUUGCGAAUCCCAUUAUUAUGGCAUGGGGAAUGAGCGCGUGGCAGUCAAUGAUAGCAGGGUUGUCCAUGGCGACCAAGGUGCCAUAUUCGAAGGUCGGAGAAGGUCCAUGCAUCUGAAGCGCAACAUUACCUUCGACCGUUUGAAGAAGAAAAUCCACGAAAGGUUGAAGCUGCAAAGGAACCAGAUGAUUUCUAGAGUCAGCUCUAGAUUUAUGACGACACCGAAUCAAAAUACACUAAAGGGAUUGUUAGAAAUGAUUCCCAGGGUUUGUUAGACCAGCUUCCAUUUUAAGCCCUUGCAGACAUAGUUAGAUGGAGAAAGGAAGACGAAUAGAGGAAUGACAAGAGUUUGCUGCCAUGAUGAAUGCUUUAACAUAGAAGCACUUACGUGGCUUGAUGAAUGAACCAGAGAAUGACUUCAAGACUAUGGACUUUCAUGGCAAAUGUUGGAAAGACUUGAAGUAUUUGAAAUAUUAGAUUUUGAGUAGUUAUUAAAUUGCAGGAGGUCGAUCUUCCAUUGUUGUAUUUUGGUUUUCUUUUUUCUUUUUUUUUGACAAUGAAAAGCUAGGAUCAUUUAAACUCAAUUAUUUCUUUAAGAACCAAUGUAUAGUUUGGGCUAUACAUGAACCCUUUUCAAUGAAAUUAGCCGUGCAGGGUCUUUGCUCCA